rnacentral:rRNA from 1 species
UGAAUACGAGACGCUAAGGCGUCGAAGUAGUGUAUGUCAUACUUCCAAGAAAAGCUUGCACUGUCAUAAGUAAAAAAUGCCUGUACCAUAACCGACACAGGUGGGUAGGUAGAGUAUACUAAGGGGCGCGAGAUAACUCUCUCUAAGGAACUCGGCAAAAUAACUCCGUAACUUCGGGAGAAGGAGUACCUUAUUCUAUAAGGUUGCAAUAACAAGAUCCAAGCAACUGUUUAUCAAAAACACAGGUCUCCGCUAAGUCGUAAGACGAUGUAUGGGGGCUGACGCCUGCCCAGUGCCAGAAGGUUAAAGAAGUCGGUUAGCAUUAGCGAAGCUGGUAACUGAAGCCCUGGUGAACGGCGGCCGUAACGAUAACGGUCCUAAGGUAGCGAAAUUCCUUGUCGGGUAAGUUCCGACCCGCACGAAAGGCGUAAUGAUUUGGAUACUGUCUCGGAGAGGGGCUCGGUGAAAUAGACUUGUCUGUGAAGAUGCGGACUACCUGCACCAGGACAGAAAGACCCUAUGAAGCUUUACUGUAACUUGAAAUUGAAAUUGGACUUUAUUCGCGCAGUAUAGGUGGGAGGUGUUGAUUAUAAUCUUGCGGGAUUAUUGGAGCCAUCAGUGAGAUACCACUCUUGUAAUGUUAGAUUUCUAACUUUGAAUCAUUAUCUGGUCAAAGGACAGUUUCAGGCGGGCAGUUUGACUGGGGCGGUCGCCUCCCAAACGGUAACGGAGGCGUACAAAGGUUUCCUCUGAACGGGUAGUAAUCGUAUCUAGAGUGUAAAGGCAUAAGGAAGCUUGACUGUGAGACCUACAAGUCGAACAGGGGCGAAAGUCAGUCUUAGUGAUCUGACGGUACUGAGUGGAAAGGCCGUCACUCAACGGAUAAAAGUUACUCUAGGAUAACAGGCUGAUCUCCCCCAAGAGUUCACAUCGACGGGGAGGUUUGGCACCUCGAUGUCGGCUCAUCGCAUCCUGGGGCGGUAGUACGUCCCAAGGGUUGGGCUGUUCGCCCAUGAAAGCGGUACGCGAGCUGGGUUCAGAACGUCGUGAGACAGUUCGGUCCAUAUCCGGUGUAGGCGUUAGAAUAUUGAGAGGAGCCUUCUUUAGUACGAGAGGACCGAGAAGGACAUACCUCUGGUGUACCAGUUAUCAUGCCAACGGUAAACGCUGGGUAGCUAUGUAUGGAGUGGAUAACCGCUGAAAGCAUCUAAGUGGGAAGCCCACCUCAAGAUAAGUAUUCUCAUC